AAUCUUGCGCAAUGGGCGAAAGCCUGACGCAGCCAUGCCGCGUGAAUGAUGAAGGUCUUAGGAUUGUAAAAUUCUUUCUCCGGGGACGAUAAUUACGGUACCCGGAGAAGAAGCCCCGGCUAAAUUCCUUCCAGCAGCGGCGGUAAUACGGAGGGGGCUAGCGUUGUCAGGGAUUACUGGGCGUAAAGGGCGAGUAGGCGGACAUUUAAGUCAGGGGUGAAAUCCCAGAGCUCAAAUCUGGAACUGCCUUUGAUACUGGGUGUCUUGAGUGUGAGAGAAGUAUGUGGAACUCCGAGUGUAGAGGUGAAAUUCGUAGAUAUUCGGAAGAACACCAGUGGCGAAGGCGACAUACUGGCUCAUUACUGACGCUGAGGCGCGAAAGCGUGGGGAGCAAACAG
rnacentral:rRNA from 1 species